CCUCUGUUCAGAAAUGGUUCUUUCGAAAUGGAUUCACACCAGGACUCUGACAGAAUUUCAGAACUAGCUUCAAACAAUUCGAACGAGUUGCCCCCACUACCAGAGGGUUCUCCACCAUUGCCUAUUGAUUCUCCUCCUCCACCCCCACCUUUGCCUCCUUCACCGCCCCCACCACCACCUCCUCCAUUAUCUCCAUCACCUCCACCGCCUCCACCUCCUUUUCCGUCACAGCUGCCCCCACUUCCUCCACCACCUGCAGGGCCACCUCCACCUACAGGCCCUCCUCCACCUGCAGGGCCUCCUCCACCUACAGUCCAUCCACCACCUAUGGGGCCUCCACCAUCUACGGGUCCUCCACCACCUAUGGGGCCUCCACCAUCUACGGGUCCUCCACCACCUAUGGGGCCUCCACCUCCAAUGGGCCCUCCACCUAGGGGUCCUCCACCGCUUAUGGGUCCUCCACCACCGACGGGGCCUCCACCACCCACAGGCCCUCCACCACCAAGGGGUCCACCACCUAUUGGGCCUCCACCACCUGCAGGGCCCCCACUACCUCCAGGCCCUCCACCCCCUCCUGGUCCCCCACCCCCUGCAAGCCAGCACCUACCUACAGGUCCUCCACCAUCACUGCUUUCUCAACCACCACUACCUCCUACACCGCAACUGCCACCUCCACCACAGUUACCACCUCCACCGCAACUACAACCUCAACCGCAACUACCACCUCAACCUCCAUUACUGCCACCUCAACCAUCACUACAGUCUUCACCCCAGUUAGCAUAUCAACCACCUGUGCCUCAUGAAUAUUGC
rnacentral:lncRNA from 1 species